rnacentral:rRNA from 1 species
UACGGAGGGUGCAAGCGUUAUCCGGAUUCACUGGGUUUAAAGGGUGCGUAGGUGGGUUGGUAAGUCAGUGGUGAAAUCCCCGAGCUUAACUUGGGAACUGCCAUUGAUACUAUUAAUCUUGAAUACUGUGGAGGUCAGCAGAAUAUGUCAUGUAGCGGUGAAAUGCUUAGAUAUGACAUAGAACACCAAUUGCGAAGGCAGCUGGCUACACAAAUAUUGACACUGAGGCACGAAAGCGUGGGGAUCAAACAGG